rnacentral:rRNA from 1 species
AACGAACGCUGGCGGCAUGCCUAACACAUGCAAGUCGAACGAGACCUUCGGGUCUAGUGGCGCACGGGUGCGUCACGCGUGGGAACCUUCCCUUAGGUUCGGAAUAACUCCCCGAAAGGGGUGCUAAUACCGGAUAAUGUCUUCGGACCAAAGAUUUAUCGCAUUUGGAUGGGCCCGCGUUAGAUUAGCUAGUUGGUAAGGUAAAAGCCUACCAAGGCGACGAUACAUAGCUGGUCUGAGAGGAUGAUCAGCAACACUGGGACUGAGACACGGCCCAGACUCCUACGGGAGGCAGCAGUGGGGAAUAUUGGACAAUGGGCGAAAGCCUGAUGCAGCAAUGCCGCGUGAGUGAUGAAGGCCUGAGGGUUGUAAAGCUCUUUUACCCGGGAUGAUAAUGACAGUACCGGGAGAAUAAGCGCCGGCUAACUCCGUG